AUAGUUUAAAAAUUUAAAAAACUUUUGAUUGAAAUUCAUAACCCAGAGGUCACGAGUUCAAAUCUCGUU
rnacentral:tRNA from 1 species